rnacentral:tRNA from 1 species
GUGGGCGUAGCUCAGUUGGUAGAGCACUGGAUUGUGGCUCCAGUGGCCGCGGGUUCAAGUCCCGUCGCUCACCCCA